rnacentral:snoRNA from 10 species
GGGGUGUGAUCAGAGCAGGGGGCCUGAAGAAAUGGCUCUUCUGUUUACAACACACCCAACAGGAAUCUGGGUUCGUUGUGACAAGGGGCACAAACCUUGUGGCUUUCCUAUGAACAGAUACCCUACAUGU